rnacentral:SRP_RNA from 1 species
GGGUAAGUGCUACACGAUCAGUUCCUGUUGAACCCCCCCAGGGCCGGAAGGCAGCAAGGGUAAAUAGUCGUAGCGGUGCGAUGUAGUUAGCUUACCCACU